GACGAACGCUGGCGGCGUGCUUAACACAUGCAAGUCGAACGGAAAGGCCUGCUUUCCCUUGUGGAUUGCGGGUACUCGAGUGGCGAACGGGUGAGUAACACGUGAGUGAUCUGCCCCCAACUUGGGUAUAAGCCUGGGCAACUGGGUCUAAUUACCGCUAGGACUGCAGGGUGGUGCCUGUGGUGGCAAACGAUUUUCUAGUGGUUGGGGAUGAGCUCGCGGCCGAUCAGCUUGUUGGUGGGGUAAUGGCCUACCAAGGCGGCGACGGGUAGCCGGCCUGAGAGGGUGGACGGCCACAUUGGGACUGAGAUACGGCCCAGACUCCUACGGGAGGCAGCAGUGGGGAAUAUUGCACAAUGGGCGGAAGCCUGAUGCAGCGACGCCGCGUGGGGGAUGACGGCCUUCGGGUUGUAAACUCCUUUCGACCGCGAGGAAGCCACCUGGUUGGAAGGGUGGUGACGGUAGUGGUAGAAGAAGCACCGGCUAACUACGUG
rnacentral:rRNA from 1 species